rnacentral:tRNA from 1 species
GCCCCGGUAGCUCAGUGGAGCCGUGAAAAGCCUAGAGAGCGCCGAGCUGCUAACUCGGAGGACGUUGGUUCGAGUCCAACCCGGGGCA